GACGAACGCUGGCGGCGUGCUUAACACAUGCAAGUCGAACGGUGAAGCGCCUUCCUUUUUGGUGGGUGUGGAUGAGUGGCGAACGGGUGAGUAACACGUGAGUAACCUGCCCCCUUCUUCUGGAUAACCGCAUGAAAGUGUGGCUAAUACGGGAUAUUCUGGGUCUGUCGCAUGAUGGGUCUGGGAAAGAUAUUGUUUCGGUGGGGGAUGGGCUCGCGGCCUAUCAGCUUGUUGGUGGGGUGAUGGCCUACCAAGGCGGUGACGGGUAGCCGGCCUGAGAGGGUGGACGGUCACACUGGGACUGAGACGCGGCCCAGACUACGACGGGAGGCAGCAGUGGGGAAUAUUGCACAAUGGGAGCAAGCCUGAUGCAGCGACGCCGCGUGAGGGAUGGAGGCCUUCGGGUUGUGAACCUCUUUCGCCAGUGAAGCAGGCCUGCCUCGUUUGUGGGUGGGUUGACGGUAGCUGGAUAAGAAGCGCCGGCUAACUACGUG
rnacentral:rRNA from 1 species